UCCACCUCCAUCCAUCCUCUGGUUCCAUCUCCAUCCGCUCCCCUCCCCUCUCUCCAUCUGUCCGUCCGUCUGUCCGCUGUCCGUCCGUCCGUCCCCCUUCCUGGGGGGACACAUCAGUGUCCUCCUUGGGACCCAAUUGGGGCCUAUGGGGUGGGGGGACCUCAAUAUGGGGGUCCUGGUGGGCUCUCGGUGUCCUCAAAUAUAUGGGGUUAUUCCAGUGUCCUCAAUGGGAUCCAGAUGUUAAGGACACCCCUAUGGGGUCCUCAAUGGGAUCCAGAUGUUGGGGACACUCCAAUCAGGUCCUUAAUAGGACCCAGUUAUAUGGGGUAAUCCCAAUGUCCUCAGUGGGACCCAGAUAUAUGGGGUCAUUCCAAUGUCCUCAGUGGGAUCCAGAUGUUGCGGACACCCCUAUGGGGUCCUCAAUGGGAUCCAGAUGUUGGGGACAUCCAAAUUAGGUCCUUAAUGGGACCCAGAUAUAUGGGGUCAUCCCAAUGUCCUCAAUGGGAUCCAGAUGUUGGGGACACUCCAAUUAGGUCCUUAAUGGGACCCAGAUAUAUGGGGUCAUCCCAAUGUCCUCAGUGGGAUCCAGAUGUUGGGGACACCCCUAUGGGGUCCUCAAUGGGAUCCAGAUGUUGGGGACACCCCAAUGAGAUCCUCAUUGGGAUCCAGAUGUUGGGGACACCCCUAUGAUGCCUUCAUUGGGAUCCAGAUGUUGAGGACACUCCAAUUAGGUCCUUAAUGGGACCCAGACAUACGGGGUCAUCCCAAUGUCCUCAAUGGGAUCCAGAUGUUGAGGGACAUUGGGGUAUUGGGGUGACCUUAAUAGGACCCAGAUGUUGGGGACACUCCAAUUAGGUCCUCAAUGGGAUCCAGAUGUUGGGGAAACCCCAAUGAGGUCCUCAAUGGGAUCCAGAUGUUGGGGACACUCCAAUUAGGUCCUUAAUGGGACCCAGAUAUAUGGGGUCAUCCCAAUGUCCUCAAUGGGACCCAGAUGUUGGGGUCACCCCAACAAUGUCCUCAAUGGGAUCCAGAUGUUGGGUACACCCCUAUGGGGUCCUCAAUGGGAUCCAGAUGUUAAGGACACCCCAAUGAGGUCCUCGAUGGGAUCCAGAUGUUGAGGGACAUUGGGGUAUUGGGGUGACCUUAAUAGGACCCAGAUGUUGGGGAAAUGCCUAUGGGGUCCUCAAUGGGAUCCAGAUGUUGGGGACACCCCUAUGGGGUCCUCAAUGGGAUCCAGAUGUUGAGGACACUCCAAUUAGGUCCUUAAUGGGACCCUGAUAUAUGGGGUCAUCCCAAUGUCCUCAAUGGGACCCAGAUACUAGGGUCACCCCAACGAUGUCCUCAAUGGGAUCCAGAUGUUGGGGACACCCCUAUGAGGUCCUCAAUGGGAUCCAGAUGUUGGGGUCCUCAAUGGGAUCCAGAUGUUGGGGACACCCCAAUGAUUCCCUCAAUGGGAUCCAGAUGUUGAGGGCACCCCAAUGAGGUCCUCAAUGGGAUCCAGAUGUUGAGGGUACCCC